rnacentral:tRNA from 1 species
GUUCCUGUAGUUAAAGUUCUAUUAACGGUGGUUUUUCAGGCCAUAGAUCUUGGAGAAAAGCCAAGCAGGAAUU